GACAGAGGUGCCAAGCGUUAGGCGGAAUCACUGGGCUUAAAGCGUGUGUAGGCGGAUCGUUAAGUACCUUGUGAAAUCCCACGGCUCACCCGUGGAACUGCUCGGUAUACUGGCGGUCUUGAGCCACUUAGGGGCUGUCGGAACAGACGGUGGAGCGGUGAAAUGCGUAGAUAUCAGGAGGAACACCGGUGGCGAAGGCGGUUCUCUGGGCAUUACCUGACGCUGAGGAGCGAAAGUGUGGGGAGCGAACAGG
rnacentral:rRNA from 1 species